rfam:Bradyrhizobium erythrophlei strain GAS478 genome assembly, contig: Ga0132009_12
GAGAGGGUGCAAGUCCCUCCCGGCAAGGAUCGCUCCAGCCGGUAGCAAUCGGAGCAGGCGGGAAGGCGACGACCUGUCUGAAGCCUCCGCCGCGCCCGGUCUGGCCUUCACAGGCCUCCGGUUGGUCUCUCGCUCAAGACCACGCGAUGGGGUCUCCCGUGUUGCCCCAGUUCUCGUUGUGUACGUGCCGUCGCCACUACCCCGGUGGAGCUGCUGGGCGCUUAUCGCUCCCUUCCCCAGCAGGUGGAAAGGGUCAUUUAGUGACUCCGCGAGUGUGCGGGCUGUAACUUGA